rnacentral:rRNA from 1 species
GCUUACGGCCAUACCAACCUGGCUAUGCCCGAUCUCGUCUGCUCUCGGAAGCUAAGCAGGUUUGGGCCUGGUUAGUACUUGGAUUGGAGACCGCCUGGGAAUACCAGGUGCUUUAAACU